AUCAUAACCGUAAUAAUCGUAACCAUGGUCAUGCCUAUUUCUAGGAAAACCCCUAAAGCUAAGCCGCGCCGACAUUAUAAAACCCAACAAGCAAGGGCUUUAGGCAUCCAAAUUAUAUUAGUGUUUUAAGUACAUCAAAAUCUUGAAAGUUUCAUAUAGUGCAGCCGUUUUUGUCAGCCUUUUAGCAGCUCCGAUCCAUCUUUCUCUUCUCAUCAGUUCAACAUCGAUCUUUUCUUUAUAUCGCAUUAUCUUCCUUUUAUUUGUGAUUCGUUGUAGUUUUAGGAGUUGCUCAUCUAUUCGUUAUUGGGUUUCAUUUUCGUUUGUUUGAUGCAGCCGUGCGUUUUUCGACAAGAGGCUCUCUCAGGAAGUUAGCGGAGAUGCUUUGGGCGAGAGUCUUGGUAACAAAACCGCCCCUGGUACCAGCGGUAGCAAAGGUGGAAAGUGGAAGUGCAUCUUCUUAGACUGUGAUAAUUCUGGAGCAAGAGUUGGAGAAGGAAGAGUUUUUUCAACUGAUCCAGCUACUAAAGUCCAUCACAUUCCUUUAAUGCUACCAACGUUUGGGUAGAGAUUUCAAAGAUUGAUGGCGCAAGAGUGUGGAGACCAAAUUCAGAAGUUGAAUUCAUUUCCGAUGCAGUAGCCAGUAGCCACUACUGUGGCUUGGCCUAAUGAUAAACUGAUUUACUCUGAUAUUGGUCUUUUUGUUCUUCCCUUUCAACUGCUUUUCUAGAAAUUUUUACCCUCUUCUUAGUUUUUUUUUUCUUCUCUUAACUUCUUUGACUUUGGGACAUUAGUUUGUGUUUGCAAGUGUGUUAUGUGUGGUAAUGAACAUAUUUUACAAGUAA